AUGACUCAGACGUCUGAAAUAUGCAAAGGGGCAAAAAGCUCGCGGACGGCCCGAUCGGAGGAGGACAGAGACACUCUGUGGGACGCCUGGGGCUCCUGGAGUGAAUGCUCCCGGACGUGUGGAGGAGGCGCGUCGUACUCGCUCAGACGAUGCCUCAGUUCCAAGACCUGCGAGGGGCAGAAUAUCAAAUAUCGCACAUGCAGUAAUGUGGAUUGCCCUCCAGAUGCCGGGGAUUUUCGCGCCCAGCAGUGUUCAGCUCAUGCAGACGUGCGCUACCAGGGUCAGUACCACGAGUGGCUGCCUGUGUACAACGACCCGGACAACCCCUGCGCUCUCAAGUGCAAAGCCAAGGGCUCGGGCCUCGUGAUGGAGCUGGCCCCAAAGGUCCUGGAUGGGACUCGCUGUUACACCGAGUCCUUGGACAUGUGCAUCAGUGGAGUCUGCCAGAUUGUGGGUUGCGAUCAUGAGCUGGGGAGCACAGCAAAGGAGGACAACUGUGGUGUCUGCAAUGGAGAUGGUUCCUCCUGCAGACUGGUGCGGGGACACUACAAAUCCCAGCAUGCAUCAGGAAAAACCGAGGACACGGUUGUCGUCAUCCCCUACAAGAGUCGCCAUGUGCGUCUGGUCCUGAAAGGCCCGGAUCACUUGUACGUGGAGAGUAAGACCCUACAAGGGAUAAAAGGUGAGCUGGACUUGGAUAGAUCAGGGCAGCACCACCUGGAGAACACCACCUUGGACUUCCAGAAACUUUCAGAUAAGGAGGUCCUGAGAAUCACGGGUCCACUCGGAGCUGACUUCACAGUCAAAGUAAGAGAACAAAUAUCGGGUGGAGCGGACAGUGUGGUGCAGUACAUCUACUACCAGCCCAUCAUCCACCGCUGGAGGGAGACCGACUUCUUCCCGUGCUCCGUCACAUGUGGUGGAGGGUACCAGCUCACCUCUGCAGAGUGCUUUGACCUCCGGAGCAGCCGUGUGGUCGUGGAUCAGUAUUGCCAUUAUUACCCUGAAAACAUCAAACCGAAACCGAAACUCCAGGAGUGCAACAUGGAGCCCUGUCUGGCCAGUGACGGCUACAAGCAGAUCAUGCCAUACGACCUCUACCACCCCCUGCCUCGAUGGGAGAGCAGUCCCUGGACCGCCUGCUCCACCUCCUGCGGCGGAGGCAUCCAGAGUCGCUCAGUAUCCUGUGUGGAGGAGGACAUGCAGGGUGUCAUCACCCCCACGGAGGAGUGGAAGUGUCUCUACUCCCCCAAGACCGCCAUCCUGCAGCCCUGCAACACCUUCGACUGCCCCGUCUGGCUGGCACAGGAGUGGUCGCCCUGCACUGUGACCUGUGGGCAGGGCCUGCGCUACAGGGUGGUGUUGUGCAUCGAUCACAGAGGACUCCACGCUGGAGGCUGCAACCCCACCACCAAACCCCACAUCAAGGAGGAGUGCCUGGUGACUGUGCCCUGCUAUAAGUCCAUAGAUACGCUCCCAGUCGAGGCAAAACCUGUGUGGCAUAAGCAGGCCAUCGAGCUGGACGAGGAGAUCACCGUCACCGAGGAGCCAACCUUCAUCCCUGGUCCCUGGCAGACCUGCAGCAGGACAUGUGGCGCCGGGAUCCAGCAACGAACCGUCAAGUGCCAGGUGCUGCUGUCCUUCUCCCAGACUGUUGCUGACCUGCCCGAUGACGAGUGCGAGGGGGUCAAACCUGCAGCAAGUCAGCCCUGCUACCGCACUCCCUGCUCUGGUGUUUCAGGCAAAGAGAAAGAAAGUGAAAAGGAAGAGGAGGAGGAGGAGGAGACGCCUGAGAGAGAAGAGCUGCACGACUGGGAGUAUGAGGGCUUCACAGAGUGUUCAGAGAGCUGUGGUGGAGGUGUGCAGGAGGCCGUCGUCAUCUGCCUCAACAAGCAGACCAGGGAGGCAGCAGACCAGAGCCUGUGUGUGAGCUCCCGACGGCCACCGCAACUCCUCCAGGACUGCAAAACUCAGCCCUGCCCACCAAGGUGGGAUGCUGGAGAGUGGAGUUCAUGCUCUGCUACCUGUGGGGUUGGUCUAAUGACCCGGACUGUGGCGUGUACUCACCGACCCUCUCGGGACAGCAACCGCACUGAGGUUUUGAGGGAUGAAGACUGUCAGAACCCAAAACCCAGUCCUGUCCAAGCCUGCAACCGCUUUGACUGCCCUCCAACGUGGGACACACCUGAGUGGGGACAGUGCUCCCGGAGCUGUGGUGGUGGAUUUCAAAGGAGGCAGGUCUUGUGCAAACAGCGGUUGGCGGAUGGCAGCAUCCUGGAGCUGCCUGACACCUUCUGCUCUUCCAGGACUCCUUCAAACCAGCAGCCCUGUGCCAAGAAAGAGUGCCCACCUCAGUGGGUCACAACGGACUGGUCACAGUGUUCAGUGAGCUGUGGAAGUGGCAUUCAGAGACUACAGGCGGUCUGCAGAAAACAAGGGGAAGAUGGGACACACUGGAACACCCUCUGUUUAUCUCUGUUCUAUCAAUCUGUAAGAGAGGAAAUGAAGUUGUGUGAAUUUACUUUGCUUGACAGAAUAAUCACACCUUUCAUCUAUCCUGUUAAUGUGAUCACAGAGUCCGUCAAGGCGGAUCCGACCAUCCUGGCCCAGAGGAAGGUGUAUAUCCAGUGGAGGAAGGGCAAGAAGUUGCACUUGGUAGUGGGAGGUUACGCCUACCUCCUCCCUUGGACAACUGUGGUCCUUCGCUGCCCAACCCGACACUUCCGCAAGGGCCACAUCCGAUGGUUGAAGGACGGGAAGCCCUUGGUCGGCCUUCCACACCUCUCCAUAACAUCACUCGGAUACGUGAAGAUGCAGCAGGUUCGUGCAUCAGAUGCAGGGAUAUACACGUGUGUUGCAGGUCUGGCACAAGAACAUUUUGUCCUGCAAAUUAUUGGCAGCAAGCAGAAGCUCUCUGUCCCAGAGUCAUGGCGUCAUGGCGCAGACGGACAGCAAAAGGUUCGGCAGUCAGAUCUGGCCUCAUCAGGAGAAAGAUUCCAGGAGCUUCCCAUCUCCCUCAACCAGUACGACAAUAUAGUCGAGCAUUUGCUUGAACUCAAAGGUUCGCUCCAAGAGGGAAAAGACAUUGCUGAUAAGCAGCACUCCAGUGAAAAGAACAGAUCGACCCUGGAAGAUGACAGCUCAGAACUUUCAAGCCUGCUCGUUCUCACCGCCGAUGCCCACAGGCUCGAUGAGAUCACGCACAGCCUCUCUGAAGGCCUCGGAGGACCGUGGGGGGAACAGCUCAUCGCUCAGCUGCUCAGUGAGCUCACCACGACUCAAGGUGAAACCAAUGAGUCCACUCUUCAUCCCCCGGGAAGUGCAGAGUCCUCCACGCAAGUUCCUCUCCUUUACAAACCGAACAUUAAAGCACACACAUCCAGGCCAAGAAACCCGGUGAUCGUCCAGCGGUCCAGGAAGGUCGGAGCUGUGCCGUCAGCUGACAUGAUAGUUUAUGUGGGAGUCCCAGUUCUGGUGCAGAAAGCCACUUCUAGUCUGGAGCUGAGGUGUGAAGCGCUGGGGAACCCUGAACCGUCCCGAACAUGGACAAAGAAUGGAAAAGAGUUGCACUACAACAGCAGAGUAGGCCUGUUGCCCACCGGCUCACUGAGGAUCCAGUCUCCAAGCAGAGUAGAUGAGGGUCUGUACACCUGCACGGCAAGGAACCGUCACGGUUCAGCUGCUCUUUCAUCCUGGCUGCAGAUUUCAGGUGAGAAAAACAAAGACAGAAUGUUGCUGCAAGUUACAGUCCAGUUUUCCUCACUGUGUGGUUGUAUUAGGUGGCGAGUGGAUCCCUGGUCAUCGUGCUCAGCCACUUGUGGGGGCGGAUCCCAGACCAGGAGUGUCCGCUGCACGAAGGGUCCUGAGGGCAGAUCAAGAGAGUUGGGGAGCAAGCACUGCCUCGGCACGGGGAGGAAACCCUCACAGACCAGGCAGUGCAACCAGCUGCCCUGCGCCAGGUGGGCUGUUACCCACUGGGGACCGUGUCACGGUCAGUGUGUGGGCCCCAGUGUCGCCACGCAGCACCGCCAUGUUUACUGCCAAGACACCAACGCCACCAAAGUCUCUCAUAAGAUGUGCGGUGGACUCCAGAGGCCCAGCUCUGUGAAGAACUGCUCCACAGAGGCCUGCGCCCUGCACUGGCAUGUAGGUCCGUGGACGCAGUGCACCGCCACCUGCGGACGCCACGGUUUCCAGUCACGCCACGUGACCUGCGCGCACCGUCGAACCGGAAAGGCCGCGCGGGAGCAUCACUGCAUGUGGAGGCCACGCCCUCCCAGCUGGCAGCGAUGCAAUAUCUUGUCCUGUGGCAGAGGAGAGUGUCAGGACAGCACGAGGUACUGUGAGAAGGUCCGACAGCUGGAGCUGUGUCCGCUGCCCCAGUUCAAGAGCCGCUGCUGUCACUCCUGUCGGAACACCUGAGGCCGGGACGCGAGUCGAGGGCCGUUAACAAGCUGGACAGGUCAGGGAAGAUCCUCCGACAGCCAGCAGAGACUUGAAAGCUCUACGCCCCAUCCUGACACUCACACCUGUCUCCAGUGAUCGGUCUUGGAUGGGGGCACCUGAGUGUGGAGGAACGUUUGUGGCUGUGAUCAACUCUCCUUAAAGAUAUCACGUGUGGGUUUGGGUUUGAAAGUUUUGAGAGGAGUUUCAUGUCUGUAAAUGAAGGCUUCAGUUUUACUUCUUUUUUUCUAAAUCUGGAGUUCACUUCGACAACUUUUCCUAAAUUUGGCAACAAGCAGGAUACAAGUAAGGCUUGUUUUUUGUUGUGAGCAAUAGAAACUUGUGGUGACCGCCUGGUUUCAUGAAGGGGAACUCGUACAGAAAUGUGGCACUGGUGAAUAACAACCUCCACAUGAAUUGUUUCUGGUGUGGUUUCAGGGGUUUCCUUAGAAUAAUGGAGCAACAGCACUGCAGCACCAUCACGCCAUGUCCAAAACAGGAUGCAUAUUAUCAUGCAGCUUAUUUUACAAUACACAAUAAUGUUAUGAAUACGCUUGUUUUUAAAUGAUUGACUUCAUACCCAGGGAUUCUGGGUAGACCCCCGGCCUUUGAUAACCACUGGAAAGUCGUGUGUUUGCAUUUAUUGCGAUGGUCUCCAAAACAAUGCUGAUAAAUAGUGUUGAUGCUAAAUAAGCUUUUUAUUAAUGAGGCAUGGAUAAACUGAAAUACAGCGUAAUGUUGUUCAUAAAUGGGUAACAUGACAAAAGGCUUCAUAUUUGAUAAAUGAUAUAUUUAAUAUCAGCCACCGGGGAAAUAAAUCAUAAUCUGUGCCGUCUUUUAGCGCA
ensembl:lncRNA